rnacentral:rRNA from 1 species
CAGCAGCCGCGGGAAAACGUAGGUGGCAAGCGUUGUCCGGAAUUAUUGGGCGUAAAGGGCUCGCAGGCGGUUUCUUAAGUCUGAUGUGAAAGCCCCCGGCUCAACCGGGGAGGGUCAUUGGAAACUGGGAAACUUGAGUGCAGAAGAGGAGAGUGGAAUUCCACGUGUAGCGGUGAAAUGCGUUGAGAUGUGGAGGAACACCAGUGGCGAAGGCGACUCUCUGGUCUGUAACUGACGCUGAGGAGCGAAAGCGUGGGGAGCGAACGGGAUUAGAGACCCCUGUAGUCCCUGUCUCUUAUAA